AUGUUUUCUGGCAAAUGUCUUCCUGCAUUAGUGAAAUCCCCCCCAAGAAGCAGCAGGACACCUGCAGGAAGUGAAUCAAGGCUCUGGAGCAGAAGAAAAAAUAAUCACCUGCUUUAAAAUAAAUAAAUAAAAGUACUGUUGGAAAAAGAAAAAAAAAAAAAAAAAGGAGAAACAUUUCUUUCUAUUUGUUUUUAGGUGUAAAAUUUUAAUAAUUAACGCAGAAUUCUGUAAUUGUUGACUCAUUAGUGGCUAAUGUUUGAAGCAGCUCUUGCAGUGAGUCUGUGGCGUGCUGAUGAAGGCGUUCAGCCCGAGUUUGUGGUGCUUGGGCAGCGGGAGCCAAAGCAGGGCCAGCAGGGGCCAGGCUUGCUUUAGUUCCUCCUCCAGCCUGGGAGCUGUGCCUGUGCUGAGCAGGGUGUGACACUGUCCUGUGCAUUGUGACACUGUCCUGUGCAGGGUGACACUGUCCUGUGCAGGGUGUGGCACUGUCUUGUGCUGUUUGACACUGUCCUGUGCAGGGUGACACUGUCCUGUGCAGGGUGUGGCACUGUCCUGUGCAUAGUGACAUUGUCCUGUGCUGUUUGACACUGUCCUGUGCAGGGUGACACUGUCCUGUGCUGUUUGACACUGUCCUGUGCAGGGUGUGACACUGUCCUGUGCAGGGUGUGACACUGUGUCCUGUGCAGUGUCACCCUGUCCUGGACAGUCUGUGUGUGCUCUGUGUCCUGUACAGCCCAUGUAUCUCCGUGUGCUCUGUGUCCUCUCCUGUCCAUCCCUGUCCAUCCCUGUCCCCGUGUCCAUCCCUGUCCCUCCCUGUCCCUGUGUCCGUCCCUGUCCAUCCCUGUCCAUCCCUGUCCCCGUGUCCAUCCCUGUCCAUCCCUGUCCAUCCCUGUCCAUCCCUGUCCCUGUGUCCAUCCCUGUGUGUCCCUGUCCCCCUGUCCAUCCCUGUCCCCAUGUGCUGUUGGGGGUGGCUCUGGAGCUGAGCUGGCAGUGCAGGGUGGCUGUGCUCCUGCAAUCCCAGCACUGGGGGCCUGUGGAGGAACAGAGCUUGCUGCAGUCCAGACUCAGAGGUGGCAUUGGGAAUUUAGAGGUGGCACAAGUAUUAACUUUUAACAGUCUUUAUUCUCGGUGUUGUAGUAUCCUUUCCUUUCGCACCACCAACUGUUUGGGCUCUCCAGGGGUUUUCACAGAACGAGUCUGUAGUGUAAAACUGAAAGAUCAUGUUGCAACUUUGUAUAAAAACCAUCUUGCAAAACAAAGGCCUUUCUUUUUUCUUUGGCUUGGGACUUUUGAGACAAUUCCUAACAUACCUGUAAUUCUUGCUUUUAUAAUUUGUGUUAGCAGAGACUCUGAUGCGUUGGAAAUGUAGAUUUAAUGUGCACUCCUGUGCUUUCUGCCAAGUGGUCAUUCACUUUGGAGUUUUACUAUGUUCAACCUGUAAAUACAGCAGAAUGUCAAUAAAUGUCACUUCUGUAGCGAUUGUUGCUGUGGG
rnacentral:lncRNA from 1 species